CUGUGGUGAGAGUGGCGAACGGGUGAGUAACACGUAGGUAAUCUACCUUUGGGUGGGGGAUAGCCCAUGAAAACAUGGGGUAAUACCGCAUGAUGCCGUAAGGUUAAAGGAGCAAUUGUUCCGCCUGAGGGUGAGCCCGCGGUCCAUUAGUUAGUUGUGAGGUAAGAGCUCUACCAAGGCGACGAUGGAUAGCCGGCCUGAGAGGGUGAACGGCCACACUGGGACUGAGACACGGCCCAG
rnacentral:rRNA from 1 species